AGUAACACGUGGGCAACCUGCCUCAUAGAGGGGAAUAGCCUUCCGAAAGGAAGAUUAAUACCCGCAUAAGAUUGUAGCUUCGCAUGAAGUAGCAAUUAAAGGAGCAAUCCGCUAUGAGAUGGGCCCCGCGGCGCAUUAGCUAGUUGGUGAGGUAAACGGGCUCACCAAGGCGACGAUGCGUAGCCGACCUGAGAGGGUGAUCGGCCACAUUGGGACUGAGACACGGCCCCAGACUCCUACGGGAGGCAGCAGUGGGGAAUAUUGCACAAUGGGGAAACCCUGAUGCAGCAACGCCGCGUGAGUGAUGACGGCCUUCGGGUUGUAAAGCUCUGUCUUCAGGGACGAUAAUGACGGUACCUGAGGAGGAAGCCACGGCUAACUACGUG
rnacentral:rRNA from 1 species